GACGAACGCUGGCGGCGUGCUUAACACAUGCAAGUCGAACGGAAAGGCCCUGCUUUUGUGGGGUGCUCGAGUGGCGAACGGGUGAGUAACACGUGAGUAACCUGCCCUUGACUUUGGGAUAACUUCAGGAAACUGGGGCUAAUACCGGAUAGGAGCUCCUGCUGCAUGGUGGGGGUUGGAAAGUUUCGGCGGUUGGGGAUGGACUCGCGGCUUAUCAGCUUGUUGGUGGGGUAGUGGCUUACCAAGGCUUUGACGGGUAGCCGGCCUGAGAGGGUGACCGGCCACAUUGGGACGGAGAUACGGCCCAGACUCCUACGGGAGGCAGCAGUGGGGAAUAUUGCACAAUGGGCGGAAGCCUGAUGCAGCAACGCCGCGUGCGGGAUGACGGCCUUCGGGUUGUAAACCGCUUUCGCCUGUGACGAAGCGUGAGUGACGGUAAUGGGUAAAGAAGCACCGGCGAACUACG
rnacentral:rRNA from 1 species